UUACGUCUCGCACUGGGAUCCGGAGGGACUCUUGCCGUAAAACCCCCAAUUUUCCAAAGGUUGACCUCGGAUCAGGUAGGAAUACCCGCUGAACUUAAGCAUAUCAAUAAGCGGAGGAAAAGAAACCAACAGGGAUUGCCUCAGUAACGGCGAGUGAAGCGGCAACAGCUCAAAUUUGAAAUCUGGCCCUAGGCCCGAGUUGUAAUUUGCAGAGGAUGCUUUUGGUGCGGUGCCUUCCAAGUUCCCUAGAACGGGACGCCAGAGAGGGUGAGAGCCCCGUACAGUUGGACACCAAGCCUUUGUAAAGCUCCUUCGACGAGUCGAGUAGUUUGGGAAUGCUGCUCAAAAUGGGAGGUAUAUUUCUUCUAAAGCUAAAUACCGGCCAGAGACCGAUAGCGCACAAGUAGAGUGAUCGAAAGAUGAAAAGCACUUUGAAAAGAGGGUUAAACAGCACGUGAAAUUGUUAAAAGGGAAGCGCUUGUGACCAGACUUGCGUCCGGUGAAUCACCCAGCUCUCGCGGCUGGGGCACUUCGCCGGCUCAGGCCAGCAUCAGCUCGCUGUCGGGGACAAAAGCUUCAGGAACGUAGCUCUCUUCGGGGAGUGUUAUAGCCUGUUGCAUAAUACCCUUCGGCGGGCUGAGGUACGCG
rnacentral:rRNA from 1 species